rnacentral:rRNA from 1 species
UGGGGAAUAUUGGGCAAUGGGCGCAAGCCUGACCCAGCAAUGCCGCGUGGGUGAAGAAGGUCUUCGGAUUGUAAAGCCCUUUCGGCGGGGACGAUGGUGACGGUACCCGCAGAAGAAGCCCCGGCCAACUUCGUGCCAGCAGCCGCGGUAAUACGAAGGGGGCUAGCGUUGCUCGGAAUCACUGGGCGUAAAGGGCGCGUAGGCGGCCCCGCAAGUCGGGCGUGAAAUCCCCGGGCUCAACCCGGGGCUGCGCCCGAGACUGCGGGGCUGGAGGACGGGAGAGGCUCGCGGAAUUCCCAGUGUAGAGGUGAAAUUCGUAGAUAUUGGGAAGAACACCGGUGGCGAAGGCGGCGAGCUGGCCCGUUUCUGACGCUGAGGCGCGACAGCGUUGGGGAGCAAACA